rnacentral:tRNA from 1 species
GCUGGUUUAGCUCAGUUGGUAGUAGCGCGAAUUUUGUAAAUUCGAGGUCGAGAGUUCGAAUCUUCUCAAUCAGCU